rnacentral:rRNA from 1 species
CCUACGGGAGGCAGCAGUGGGGAAUAUUGCACAAUGGGGGAAACCCUGAUGCUGCGACGCCGCGUGAGUGAAGAAGUAUUUCGGUACGUAAAGCUCUAUCAGCAGGGAAGAAAAACAGUCCUUUGGACUUUGGACGGUACCUGACCAAGAAGCCCCGGCUAACUACGUGCCAGCAGCCGCGGUAAUACGUAGGGGGCAAGCGUUAUCCGGAUUUCCUGGGUGUAAAGGGAGCGUAGACGGCAGCGCAAGUCUGGAGUGAAAUGCCGGGGCCCAACCCCGGAACUGCUUUGGAAACUGUGCAGCUGGAGUGCAGGAGAGGUAAGCGGAAUUCCUAGUGUAGCGGUGAAAUGCGUAGAUAUUACACAGAACACCGAUUGCGAAGGCAGCUUGCUAGGCCGGAUCUGACACUGAUGCACGAAAGCGUGGGGAUCGAACAGGAUUAGAUACCCUUGUAGUC